rnacentral:rRNA from 1 species
CAGCAGCCGCGGAAAUACGAAGGGGGCUAGCGUUGUUCGGAUUUACUGGGCGUAAAGCGCACGUAGGCGGACUUUUAAGUCAGGGGUGAAAUCCCGGGGCUCAACCCCGGAACUGCCUUUGAUACUGGAAGUCUUGAGUAUGGUAGAGGUGAGUGGAAUUCCGAGUGUAGAGGUGAAAUUCGUAGAUAUUCGGAGGAACACCAGUGGCGAAGGCGGCUCACUGGACCAUUACUGACGCUGAGGUGCGAAAGCGUGGGGAGCAAACAGGAUUAGAUACCCCCGUAGUCCCUGUCUCUUAUAC